AGAUGCGAUCAUACCAGCCCUAAAGCAUCGGAUCCCAUCAGAACUACGCAGUUAAGGGUGCUUGGGCAAGAGUAGUACUAGGAUGGGUGACCUCCAGGAAAGUCCUCGUGUUGCAUCCC
rnacentral:rRNA from 1 species